rnacentral:sRNA from 1 species
GUUUCAAUUCCUCAUAGGCAGGCUAUCGGCCUCCGACAGUGACGGGGUUGGCGUUAGCGUUGGGAUUG